UAAAACACUCAUGGAAGAGAAAGCUGUCGAAACUAUUCCAUUUGAUUGACCAACAAAUUCAAUGUGGUUAGAAUAUGGGGGAAUUUAGGACAACUUUCACAAACCAAAGAAAUUUCAAUUAUAAGAUAGCAUUAACAGCUUUCACUAACCAAUUACUAGAACAUGUGAACCAGAAAAAAGGGAUAAUAAACAAAAAUUCAGUAUCAGCAUAGGAACUGAGCAGGAAAGACAUCAACAUCUUGUCAAAUGAGGAAUGACUAGCAUUUUUUUUAAGGAUAAGACAUGAAAACAAUGACAUGCAGCCCAAUAGGGUAAUAUAGUAACAAAAGCAAUUUAAAAUUUACCAAUUGCCCCAAUUUUGUGCUCCCGACAGAUAUCUAUCAGAUCUUUCAUGAAAUUGAGUAUUGACAACCUCAGAUAUCUUAUGAGAAGAAAG